rnacentral:rRNA from 1 species
UGGUCCUACGGGGCGCAGCAGUGGGGGAUAUUGCACAAUGGGGGGAACCCUGAUGCAGCGGCGCCGCGUGGGUGAAGAAGCGCCUCGGCGCGUAAAGCCCUGUCAGCAGGGAAGAAAAUGACGGUACCUGAAGAAGAAGCCCCGGCUAACUACGUGCCAGCAGCCGCGGUAAUACGUAGGGGGCGAGCGUUAUCCGGAUUUACUGGGUGUAAAGGGAGCGUAGACGGUUCUGCAAGUCUGAAGUGAAAGCCCGUGGCUUAACCGCGGAACGGCUUUGGAAACUGUGGAACUGGAGUGCUGGAGAG